rnacentral:rRNA from 1 species
GAUGAACGCUGGCGGCGUGCCUAAUACAUGCAAGUCGAGCGAACGGACGAGAAGCUUGCUUCUCUGAUGUUAGCGGCGGACGGGUGAGUAACACGUGGAUAACCUACCUAUAAGACUGGGAUAACUUCGGGAAACCGGAGCUAAUACCGGAUGAUAUUUUGAACCGCAUGGUUCAAAAGUGAAAGACGGUCUUGCUGUCACUUAUAGAUGGAUCCGCGCUGCAUUAGCUAGUUGGUAAGGUAACGGCUUACCAAGGCAACGAUGCAUAGCCGACCUGAGAGGGUGAUCGGCCACACUGGAACUGAGACACGGUCCAGACUCCUACGGGAGGCAGCAGUAGGGAAUCUUCCGCAAUGGGCGAAAGCCUGACGGAGCAACGCCGCGUGAGUGAUGAAGGUCUUCGGACCGUAAAACUCUGUCAUUAGGGAAGAACAUAUGUGUAAGUAACUGUGCACAUCUUGACGGUACCUAAUCAGAAAGCCACGGCUAACUACGUG